GAGCUCAGCUGGUAGAACAUGAGUCCCUUUGAUCUCAGGGUCUUGGGUUCGAGCCCCAGGUUGGGCA